rnacentral:sRNA from 1 species
UGACGGUAGUUCCAUCAGUUGGUUUCUGAGUUGUCGGCUUGGCCGUAGUUCCAUCAGUUGGUUUCUGAGUUGUUGGCUUGGCCGUAGUUCCCUCUGUUGGUUUCA